rnacentral:lncRNA from 1 species
GAGGCUAUAUACAGGGGGUACCAGUACAGAGUCAAUGUGGAGGCUAUAUACAGGGGGUACCAGUACAGAGUCAAUGUGGAGGCUAUAUACAGGGGGGUACCAGUACAGAGUCAAUGUGGAGGCUAUAUACAGGGGGGUACCAGUACAGAGUCAAUGUGGAGGCUAUAUACAGGGGGGUACCGGUACAGAGUCAAUGUGGAGGCUAUAUACAGGGGGUACCAGUACAGAGUCAAUGUGGAGGCUAUAUACAGGGGGUACCAGUACAGAGUCAAUGUGGAGACUAUAUACAGGGGGUACCGGUACAGAGUCAAUGUGGAGGCUAUAUACAGGGGGGUACCGGUACAGAGUCAAUGUGGAGGCUAUAUACAGGGGGUACCAGUACAGAGUCAAUGUGGAGGCUAUAUACAGGGGGUACCGGUACAGAGUCAAUGUGGAGGCUAUAUACAGGGGGCACCAGUACAGAGUCAGUGUGGAGACUAUAUACAGGGGGUACCGGUACAGAGUCAGUGUGGAGACUAUAUACAGGGGGUACCAGUACAGAGUCAAUGUGGAGGCUAUAUACAGGGGGUACCAGUACAGAGUCAAUGUGGAGGCUAUAUACAGGGGGUACCGGUACAGAGUCAAUGUGGAGGCUAUAUACAGGGGGUACCGGUACAGAGUCAAUGUGGAGGCUAUAUACAGGGGGUACCAGUACAGAGUCAAUGUGGAGGCUAUAUACAGGGGGUACCGGUACAGAGUCAAUGUGGAGGCUAUAUACAGGGGGUACCAGUACAGAGUCAAUGUGGAGGCUAUAUACAGGGGGUACCGGUACCGAGUCAGUGUGGAGGCUAUAUACAGGGGGUACCAGUACAGAGUCAAUGUGGAGGCUAUAUACAGGGGGUACCAGUACAGAGUCAAUGUGGAGGCUAUAUACAGGGGGUACCAGUACAGAGUCAAUGUGGAGGCUAUAUACAGGGGGUACCAGUACAGAGUCAAUGUGGAGGCUAUAUACAGGGGGUACCGGUACAGAGUCAGU